AGGAUGCUAAAGGAGCAAAGGGAAAGCACCCUUUUUCGCCAUGUGAACUCAUUAACUAUGUGUGCAACCACAACUUUCCUGGAGACCUGGUGAGGCAGUGGGCAGAACGAGUGGCUGGCGAGGCAAUGAGGAAUUGCGGCUGGCGGGGUGGCCAGGAACAGCGGCUGGCAGAUCGGCCAACGAGAACAAAUGCUCAGAUCGUGGAGUAAGCAAGGUGCCUUCUUCCCCGGGUGGAAGGUGAACUCACACAGAUGCACCUCUGACCCCGGGUCCUCCUGACCAAGGACAACCACUGUGAGUGUAGUAUGGUGAGGGAGCAGAGAGGGGCACAGAAAAGGAACUUUUGAUUAUAGAACUCGAGAACAUGAGGCG